GAGGCAUUUUGAGCCCCAGCUGUGACUGGUGGCUCAGACGCUAAAGUGUCUGCCUACAGUGCAGGAAACCUGGGUUCAAUCCCUGGGUUGGGAAGAUCCCCUGGAGAAGGAAAUGGCAACCCACUCCAGUACUCUUGCCUGGAGAAUCCCAUGGAUGGAGGAGCCUGGUAGGCUACAGUCCAUGGGGUCGCAGAGUUGGACACGACUGAGCAGCUUCACUUCACUUGUGACUGUUCCUCUGUCCAGGGGGCUCUGGGCAGCCAUCAACCCUGAACGAGUGUCCUGGAGGGCCCCAGGCUUUGUGUGAGUGGGGGACUGAGCUGUGGUUUAGGCUCCUUGUCACGUAUCCCCACAGGGGAGAACCCCAUGGACAGAGGAGCCUGACGGGCUAUGACCCGUGGGGUCACAAAGAGUUGGAUGCGACUUACCACGUGCAGCACCCACAUUUUUUGUGUGUGGUUUUUCGGGUAAAAGCUCCUUGGCCAACUUCAAUGCUCAUAGGCAUUUAGCUUCUGUUCUCAAAAGGAGCUAAGGACAAAAGGGUCUUGGCCAGAAAGGGACGCUUAGACCAUCCAGCUCUCUCACCUGGAUGAAAAAGUGAGGCACAGAGGUGGGGAGGCAACUUCUCAGACAGCUGAUUAGCAGCAAAAUGAGCGCCCCUGCCAUGGGUUUUUUCUCUGACCAAGCACACAGGCUUUGGGCCUGUGUGACCAAGUAAGACCCCAGCCCUCAUCCAGCUCUGGGCACAAGCCACUGGCCUGACCCCAAGAGUCUGCCCAACCCAACAGACCUCCAGUGGGGGCUUCUGACCUUGGUCCUUGUUCCCACCUCCAUUGCCCAAAACAACCUGCAGCACAGCAGUGUCUUCUCAAAUUACUUGUUAAAUACAGAGAGAAAACAAUAAUUUACAGUGGAGAAAAUGCAGCUAAACCAUGUGAUCCACAUUAACAUCAAGAAGAAUGGAACAGAUGGACAUUUCAUGUCUCCUGAUAUAACGUACUGAGAACACAACAUCCUUUCUGCAGCCUUGUCAAAAGUGCAGAGCCUGAAUCUCUCGUGAUUAAACACUGGACAAACCCAUACCAAGCCAUGUUCUACAAAAUUACUGCCCUUCACUCAGUCAUGAAAGAUAAAAACUAAGGAACUGUUCCAAAUUAAAGGAGACUAAGGAGAGACUUAAUAACUAAGCACAGUGUGUAAUCCUAGACCAGAAAAUAAACUUACCCAACACACACUUUCUGAGAGAAGCAUUUUGGAGAAUUGGGUCUCUAGGUUUUUAAGGCUGUGUCUCUUCUACUGAGACCAGGGGCCCAACAGCAGUUCUUACUUUGUAAUAAUUUGAAGCAACCAAUAAAGACACCUUGAACAUGAAAAAAAAUUUUUUCUGACCUUCGUAUUGUUUACAUUAAGACUGAUGACUGACCGCUCAUAAACGAUGGAAAUCGGAAGACAGUGAAAAGACUUAUUUAAAGCCCUGGGGUCUUAAAAACUUCCAUCAUAGAAUUUUUUUUACCUAAUGAAAAUAACCUUUAAAGUAAAGAUGUUCUCAGAUAAACAAAAGCUGAGAGAAUUUAUCGCUAUGAGACUUGCACGAAAGGAAUCCUACAUGGAAGAAUAAGCGUUCCAAAAGAUGAAGAAACUGGGUCUCAGAGCAGAAUAACUUUCUCGCCCAGGAUCACGCAGCCAGCCAGAGGCGGAGUUGGAGCUGGGAUUAGAACCCGGGUCUGCCUUUCCCUGCCCUGUCUGGUUUCUGGGGUGUUUCGCUCAGCUCUAGU